rnacentral:rRNA from 1 species
UACGGAGGGUGCAAGCGUUAUCCGGAUUCACUGGGUUAAAGGGAGCGUAGGUGGGCUGGUAAGUCAGUGGUGAAUCUCCGGCUUAACUCGGAAACUGCCGUUGAUACUAUCAGUCUUGAAUAUUGUGGAGGUAAGCGGAAUAUGUCAUGUAGCGGUGAAAUGCUUAGAUAUGACAUAGAACACCGAUAGCGAAGGCAGCUUGCUACACAAUUAUUGACACUGAGGCUCGAAAAGCGUGGGGAGUCAAACAGGA